UGUCCCUACGGGACGCAGCAGUGAGGAAUAUUGGUCAAUGGGCGGGAGCCUGAACCAGCCAAGUCGCGUGAAGGAAGAAGGUACUUAGUAUUGUAAACUUCUUUUGUCGGGGAACAAAGGCGGAGACGCGUCUCCGGAUGAGUGUACCCGAAGAAAAAGCAUCGGCUAACUCCGUGCCAGCAGCCGCGGUAAUACGGAGGAUGCGAGCGUUAUCCGGAUUUAUUGGGUUUAAAGGGUGCGUAGGCGGACAGUCAAGUCAGCGGUAAGAAUGCGGUGCUCGACACCGGACAGCCGUUG
rnacentral:rRNA from 1 species